GGCUCAGGACGAACGCUGGCGGCGUGCCUAAUACAUGCAAGUCGAACGGUCUUUCUAUGGAAGCUUGCUUCCACUGAGAAGAUAGUGGCGAACGGGUGAGUAACACGUGGGUAACCUGCCCAUAAGAGGGGGAUAACAUCCGGAAACGGGUGCUAAUACCGCAUAGUUUUCUUGAUUGCAUGAUCGGGAAAGGAAAGACGGCCUUUGUGCUGUCGCUUAUGGAUGGACCCGCGGCGUAUUAGUUAGUUGGUGAGGUAACGGCCCACCGUGGCGACGAUGGGUAGCCGGCCUGAGAGGGUGGACGGCCACAUUGGAACUGAGACACGGUCCAGACUCCUACGGGAGGCAGCAGCUAAGAAUCUUCCGCAAUGGGCGAAAGCCUGACGGAGCCGACGCCGCGUGAACGAAGAAGGCCGUGAGGUUGUAAAGUUCUUUUCGGGAGGGGGAACAACCGUGGCAGGGAAUGGCCGCGGGAUGACGUGAAUCCCGGAAUAAGCCCCGGCUAACUACGUGCCAGCCGCCGC
rnacentral:rRNA from 1 species